GACAGAGCCCCAUUCACCUCUCACACGUCAGUCUUGUGGAUGGGAGCUGGGGCGUGUGCACGCGUGGUAUGCGUGCACUCCCGCUGCGCCUACAGUGAGCAGGGUGGGCUGCAGGAGCGGCGCCCCGCUACUCCAACACCCACCCCACCCCCCAAUCUUGCCGCAGUGGAGCUUCGGCGGCCCACGCCGCUGCGGCUUCAGUUAUUUAUAGGCCUUCGCUGCGGAGAUCCGAGAUCUAGGUGGGACUGUGCAGGGCUGGAGGUGGGGUGGGAUGGCGUGAUGGGGAGUCCUAAAGACAGCUUGGAGGUAGUGUGCCAGCAUCCAGUGGUAGGUCUGGAAGUCCUCCCCUGAAGCCAGGACAAGUAGGAGCCUGGGGCCAGUUUGUUGAUGGCUAAUGGGAGAUUGGGGGAGGGAAACGAGUUGGGAUGCAGCUGGUGGAGAUCACUGUCCAGUGACAGGGUGGGGAGUCUGCUGUCAGUGCCUGAGUGAAGGUAGUCACUCCCUCCCCUCAUGUUUAACAGGGUAGAAGGUGGAAUCAAUGUCCUGUGAUGGGGGUGGAGUAGAAGGUUCAGUGAUUGUGUGACUAGGAGAAGGAAGUGAACCGGGUAGUCCUGGUAGUGCACUGGAGGAGUUGAGAUCAAUGUGUGUGGGGGUCACUGUUUGGGUAUCUGAGAAGUGGGCUGGAGGGGGUGAGGCUAGAUGUGAAUGAGACGUCAAGGACUGGUAGAGAGGAAGGAGUUGGUAUGUAGGUAAGGCAGGGUCAUAGGAAGGAUGUGGUGUCUUUGUUGAUGGGUGGUUGGGGUCAACGUUUAGUUUAAGGAGGUGAUGGGUCAGUGUGCAGUAUCUGCCUCUCUUCUGCAGGCAGAAGUGUGACUGCUCCCCUGUUCUUUCUCCAGGAGGCCAUGUCUGGAGAGGAUUCUGAAGUUCGAGCAGUGUCUGAAGGGGGCUCCAAUGGAGGCAGUGGUUCACCUAGCCCUGGGGACACACUACCCUGGAACCUUGGUAAAACACAGAGGAGCAGGAGGAGCGGAGGUGGCUCUGGGGGCAACGGCAGUGUCUUGGACCCUGCAGAGCGGGCUGUCAUCCGCAUUGCAGGUAACGUAGAAGUACCUGGUCUGCCCAGCUCGUUAACACAGGCCUGUUGAUUAAGCACCUGCUGUGUGCUGCGUGCAGGUGUUUGGAUUGACUGGAUGAAAGGCCAAAGGAAAACUGUUGUUAGGGAGGGCUUCUCUUGUUCCAGGUGAGUGCAGGUAGUACAGCGCCACCUGCUGGCCCCCCAGGUAGCUGCACAAGCCUAAGGCAGGACUUCUUGCUACAUACAGCCCUACCAUCUCUGGCUUCAUAACAAGGGUCCAGAUGUGAUGGUGAUAAUUCCUUGGGGUCCUGGAGCUAAACUGCUCACCAUGCCCCCCGGUUUUGGCUGCCACCCAGGAGCGCAUGGAAGUAGAACAAGAGGAGAUACCUGGUCAGCCAGAGUCCAGCUUUGCCUACCAGUCUGAGGAGGAAGAUGAGAAAAAUCCAGCAAGAAGGCCAGGGGAGGUUGGCAGGCAGUCUAUCCCUUUGGGAAGUAAGUGACCUAGGGCUGGAGGCCAUUGGGCAGAAUAUAUCAAGCAAGGGAGUACGGACGGUAUUCCAUCCACUAGGACCCUCAGGGGCUUAUGAAGCAUAUGAAAGGCAUGGUAGGUCCAGGAGGCCAGGAAGGUAGACCAAGGUGUGAGGGAGAGGACUGGAAAGCCAGCUGCCCAGUGGGGAGGUGAUGCUGCAGGCAUCGAGGAAGUUUGCUGUUGGAAGUGAAGCAACAGCUUGUGGAAAUAGGAGCAGAGAAGAGUAAUGGACAUGCUCUUGCUACCCUGACCCCUGCCCCCGGGGUCAUGUGCUUGUGCAGGAACCUAUGAUCUUUCUCAUUUCAUGUAGGAUUUUGUGUGUGUGUGUGUGUGUGUGGUGCUGGGGGAUUGAACCCAGGGCCUUGUGCAUGUGAGCUAUAUCCGCAGCCCUCAUGUAGAAUUUUAAUUGAGGUCAUUUUUUUCCCACUUGAAAGAGAAUCAUGAAUGUCCUCCCCAUGGACCUUUAAUGAUGCAAAGGGGUGGGGGCUGCAUCUUAGCAGCC
rnacentral:lncRNA from 1 species